rnacentral:misc_RNA from 1 species
CCCUAAACCCGAUAGCAGCGGAUACCGGCCACCGUGGCUAAGGCCUGUGGAGUAUGAGCGUAUAGCGGGACUGCAU